AACGAGCACUGAUUCCUGAAGAGCUGAUUAUAGCUGAUCAGCAACACCUGUGACACCUGCAGGAUGGGUAUAUGAAACCUGCCGUGUGGCUCAGAUCGUAUUUUCUGUUGGUGGCUGAAGUAAUGGGAGGGUUUUGGGCCUUGCUUGUUUUUGUGCUGACUGUCUGGUUCACCAAAGGCUCUGGUUGGCCAGUUGGUGGCACAAAUGUGAAUGGUAAUGGGCCGCAAAGGGCAAUGAGAGAGCUGUCUCCUAAUGAGCCCUCCAUAAAGAAGGCCCUUACGCUUCACCAGUCUGAGUCUGUGUUCCUGCGGAAGUCAAAAGAAGUCAAACUGAAACCAAUGAGGUGGAAAUUAAGGCAUCAGCUGUCCACCUAAAAGUUGAAUAUGCGCAAAACGACGGACUUCUCAUCAGCGCCAACAGCUCACAUUACAUAGGCUGCAACAGCACCCUGGGCGACGACGGCACCCGCGACGGCACCCUGGGCGACGAUGGCAGCAAGGGAACUCUGGCAGACGCCUACGCAGGCAACAGCACCCUGGGCGACGACGGCAACGUGACUUUGGCUGAUGUCUACACGGGCAACAGCACCCUGGGCGACGACGGCAACGUGACUUUGGCUGACGUCUACAAGGUCAACGGCACCCUGGGCGACGACGGCACCCACAACGUAACGUUGGACGACAUCUACACUGACAACGGCACCCUGGCCGACGAUCGCAGCACGGGCAACGGAACUUUGGCAGAUGGCAACGACACCCUGUCCGACGUCUACACCCGCAACGGCACCCUGGGCGACGAUGGCAGCAAUGGUACUUUGGCUGACGUCUACGCGGGCAACGGCACCCUGGGCGACGACGGCAACGAGACUUUGGCUGACGUCUACGCGGGCAACGGCACCCUGGGCGACGACGGCAGCAAUGGAACUUUGGCAGAUGCCGACGCAGGCAACGGCACCCUGAGCGACGACGGCAACGUGACCCUAGCUGACUACACGGGCAACGGAACUUUGGCUGACGGCUACACGGGCAACGGCACCCUGGCCGACGUCGAGACGGGCAACGGAACUUUGGCAGAUGGCAACGGCACCCUGGGCGACGACGGCAACGUGACUUUUGCUGACGUCUACACUGGCAACGGCACCCUGGCCGACGACGACACGGGCAACGGAAC
ensembl:lncRNA